rnacentral:snoRNA from 1 species
GCGGAAGAUGAUAAUAUUUUUAACUCGUAACACCUGCCGGUGUGCUGAAGAUUAAAAACACGCAACAACAAACACUCUAAUUUUUUGCUGACG